UAACAGAGGUCUCAAGCGUUUGUUCGGAUUCAUUGGGCGUAAAGGGUGUGUAGGUGGCGCCGUUAGUCGGGUGUGAAAUUUCGGAGCUUAACUCCGAAACUGCAUUCGAUACUGCGGUGCUUGAGGACUGGAGAGGAGACUGGAAUUCAUGGUGUAGCAGUGAAAUGCGUAGAGAUCAUGAGGAAGACCAGUGGCGAAGGCGGGUCUCUGGACAGUUCCUGACACUGAGACACGAAGGCCAGGGGAGCAAACGGG
rnacentral:rRNA from 1 species